AACUUUCAGUUCCAAAAGGGAAUUUUUCAUUUACACUGAAAGGGUUCCUGUGCAAUCCAGGAAAGGUUGAU
rnacentral:tRNA from 1 species